GAUGAACGCUGGCGGCGUGCCUAAUACAUGCAAGUCGAGCGAAUGGAUUAAGAGCUUGCUCUUAUGAAGUUAGCGGCGGACGGGUGAGUAACACGUGGGUAACCUGCCCAUAAGACUGGGAUAACUCCGGGAAACCGGGGCUAAUACCGGAUAACAUUUUGAACCGCAUGGUUCGAAAUUGAAAGGCGGCUUCGGCCGUCACUUAUGGAUGGACCAGGGUCGCAUUAGCUAGUUGGUGAGGUAACGGCUCACCAAGGCAACGAUGCGUAGCCGACCUGAGAGGGUGAUCGGCCACACUGGGACUGAGACACGGCCCAGACUCCUACGGGAGGCAGCAGUAGGGAAUCUUCCGCAAUGGACGAAAGUCUGACGGAGCAACGCCGCGUGAGUGAUGAAGGCUUUCGGGUCGUAAAACUCUGUUGUUAGGGAAGAACAAGUGCUAGUUGAAUAAGCUGGCACCUUGACGGUACCUAACCAGAAAGCCACGGCUAACUACGUGCCAGCAGCCGCAGUAA
rnacentral:rRNA from 1 species